rnacentral:rRNA from 1 species
CCUACGGGAGGCAGCAGUAAGGAAUAUUGGUCAAUGGACGAAAGUCUGAACCAGCCAUGCCGCGUGAAGGAUGACGGCCCUCUGGGUUGUAAACUUCUUUUAUAUGGGACGAAAAAAGGGAAUUCUUUCUCACUUGACGGUACCAUAGGAAUAAGCACCGGCUAACUCCGUGCCAGCAGCCGCGGUAAUACGGAGGGUGCAAGCGUUAUCCGGAUUCACUGGGUUUAAAGGGUGCGUAGGUGGGUAGGUAAGUCAGUGGUGAAAUCUCCGAGCUUAACUCGGAAACUGCCAUUGAUACUAUUUAUCUUGAAUUUUUUGGAGGUGAGCGGAAUAUGUCAUGUAGCGGUGAAAUGCUUAGAUAUGACAUAGAACACCAAUUGCGAAGGCAGCUCACUACGAAAUUAUUGACACUGAGGCACGAAAGCGUGGGGAUCAAACAGGAUUAGAUACCCUGGUAGUCCACGCCCUAAACGAUGGAUACUCGACAUCAGCGAUACACUGUUGGUGUCUGNGNGAAGACAUAUAUCCACCUGAGACGACGCGAGUAGAAGUAAGUAGUAGAGNGNGAGAGAGCGACGACGACGACGACGGAGGAGG